rnacentral:rRNA from 1 species
UACGGAGGAUCCAAGCGUUAUCCGGAUUUAUUGGGUUUAAAGGGUGCGUAGGUGGCCUGGUAAGUCAGGGGUGAAAGACGGUAGCUUAACUAUCGCAGUGCCUUUGAUACUGCCGGGCUUGAAUGAACUAGAGGUAGGCGGAAUGUGACAAGUAGCGGUGAAAUGCAUAGAUAUGUCACAGAACACCGAUUGCGAAGGCAGCUUACUAUGGUUUUAUUGACACUGAGGCACGAAAGCGUGGGGACCAAACAGG